ensembl:lincRNA Gm44591 predicted gene 44591
GGAAGAGAGCUGAAUGCCACGAAAUCCCCGCUGUACUGGUUCUAAAAACAGCUGGAUGCCCUGAAAGAUGAAGGUGGACACGGGAGGCAAACAGCCAGAAGGCUUCACCCACAGGUAACAGAUCUUUUCUAGCAUCAAAGAGGACUGAGCUUUUCCAGGGUCUCAUUCUAGCCUCUGGACCUGAGUCUUGGCAGCACUGACUGGUUACCUGCAAGCCACGCAGUCAUCCCUUAACCUAUCACUGAAGUCAAAGAGAUGUGAUCUCCCCAUUGAUUGGCUUGGCCAGGUCACAUGCUCACCUCUGAGGUUGAAGUGAGGUGAGGUCUGCAGUUACUGUUUGGUGAGUGGGAAAAAUGAUUAAUUUCCCCCUAAAGAAAUUGAAGUUUAUUAAGGUUUAAAAGACUUCAGACAGCAAACAGGAUCAUAGUCAUCUUAGAGCAAAGAGAGUCUACGAAUGGCUGAGGAGUUGUAAAUACAGCACUGACCAGUGGCUCAGACACCUGUCCAAAGGACUCCUCACGGUCCGAGGACUCCCUGAGACAUCAAGGCUCUGUUCCUGCCAGCUGCCAUUGUAAUGGUGGCCAUUGUUGAGAAAGCACAUGAUUAACAAGAGCAAACAUCAAUGAGUUUGUUCUUAUUGUCAGUCAGAUGUCGUGGGGACCAAUAAUGCGUAAUCACAUAUAGGGAUUGUUGUCAGAGUUUUUACUUAUUUUUAAAUUGUGUGUGUAUGUGUAUGUCUCUGGGUACGCUUAUAUAUGUGUGAGUACAGGCACCCAUGAAAUCCAGAAAAGGACAUGGGAUACCCUGGAUCUUGAAUUCCAUAAGGGUGUGAGCCAUUGAAUAUGGGUGAUGGGAAAUGACCUCUGGAAGAGCAGUGAGCAGUCUUACCCACUGACCAAUCUCUCCAGCCCUGCCUUUAAUUAGUUUUGAUAGACUGUAAGUUUUUGUGUCGUCUUCACCUGCUGUUGACUGUUGUGAACAAGUUGAUGACAUCUUAAGUUGCAGGUUUUAUUAGAAGUCUCAGGGUCAUCAUUUCCAAAUUUGUUGAUUCUGAUGAUGCUUCUCCAAGUGUCCUUAAUGUUGGACUAGGAGAGGCCAUUCGGAAAGCCAUAGGUAUCAAAUGGAAAACUUUCUGAGUAGUAGAUUCACCGAAGAGGCCAUAGCAUGGCGGUGUCUUCCUGCUGGAGUCUCUGAGUUAGUCUGACACACUCAUGGCAUUUCUCCCUCUGAGAAGUUUUCAUGAGGUAAGGCCUCAGGAUGUGGCAAUCUCAAAUGACAGACAAAGAGGAACCAUGUUUACAAAUCAGCGGUAUCUGGGGACCAGUGUCAAGUGGAAGAGAGCAGGCCUCACUGUGACUUCCUUCCCAGAAGCCCGGAGUAAAGGCUCUGACAUCAAUGAGCAGGGAAGAGAGGGAUGUCAGCGAUGGCUCCAGUCGCCCAGUGACACUGCCCUUUGUCCACUCUGUUCCAGAGAGAUUCCUGCAACAUUUCUGGAAGCCCCAGUGAGAUCUCCUUCUCCAUGGCCCCAUGGUAGAGAGGGGCUGCUGCUCCCUGGUCUCUCAGAACACUAAAGUCUUCUGGAACUGGGAAGCACACAUCCUAAACAGGACUUCGGGGUCCUCUCCCAGUGGACAAGGGGACUGCGGGACCAAGACCUGGAGUCUCUGGGAAGCACACAUCCUAAACAGGACUUCGGGGUCCUCUCCCAGUGGACAAGGGGACUGCGGGACCAAGACCUGGAGUCUCUGAGCGGAAGACCAGAUGAGACUGGGCUGGAUGUCCAGGCCAGGUAAAGACAAAAAAGGGAGAUAGGCAGGAAGAGCCAGCAAUGGCUAGAUCGCCUUGCAGGAUAUUAUAUCUGGAGCCUUGAAGGGAUACUCAGGUAGCACUGGUCCCCAAGGAAAAGGCCUUGAUGAGAUACUCAGGUGGAUUAGUCUUGGAAGAAAUAGACAGACUAAGCAUUUAAAAGGGGGAUGUAUAACUUCUAAGUGAAUGGUGAAUGACUGUGUAGGUGACUGUAAUGCUCCCGCAGCUCCGUGGCUACAGAAUUUGAUUGGGCCUCAACCUCAGAUCGGCUGAAGCCCUUUCAAAUGAACAGGCAAUCCCACUCACAAUAGGAGGUUACCAAGCACAAGGUUAUACAUGUGGACCUAAGGAAAGACCUCUGAAAUUGCCACAUGGUGUCUGGCCAGGCAGAUGCCUGCUUGAGGGAGAAGCUGGUCUCCACCUCACCCUAUUUACCACACAGGGUUAGGCACACAUAAACUCCCCCAGCUUCCAGAUAGGGAACUUUUCUCACCAUGGGAUUUGUAAAAUCCUGAUGUGAAACUCACACAAUCCUGCAAAGACCUUUGUGAUGGUUUGUAUAUCCUUGGACCAGGGAGUGGCACCAUCUGAAGGUAUGGCCUUGUUGGAAUAGGUGUGACCUGGUUGGAAUGGGUGUGUCACUGUGGGUNNNNNNNNNNNNNNNNNNNNNNNNNNNNNNNNNNNNNNNNNNNNNNNNNNNNNNNNNNNNNNNNNNNNNCUCUGAACCUGUAAGCCAGCCCCAAUUAAAUGUUGUUUUUUAUAAGACUUGCCUUGGUCAUGGUGUCUGCUCACAGCAGUAAAACCCUAACUAAGACAACCUUUAAGCACAAAGACUCCAAGGAAGCACCCCCUUAGUGUCCCUGGAGGAUGAAAUCUUGCCCGUGGUGCUGUCUCCCUACCCUACUGGCUCCAGUUGUCAGCGCCACAUGGUGCCAAGGCAGCUGCAAGACUACCUGACCCUGUCCUUUCUACUGCCACUGAGGGAAAUGCCAGGCCCUCCCCUUAUCCAAGAAGGUGACAGCUAUGUUACCUGACCCUAAAUCUGGCCACAUAUUUGCCAGGAGGGAGAGCCCUUCCACGAUUGUAGAGAAACUAUAAAAGUGAUUUUUUUUCCCUCACAGUCAGAUUUAAAGGUCAAACUACUUCCCAAUGCAGGUAUGGAACUUUUACCAGUCCUAGUGACCUGAAAUGGAGCCCUAGUACCACAUGGUAGAAGGAAAGAAAAGACCUCUCUGCCUUCCACACACAGGUAGUGGCACCCCUACACAUUAAACAAAUAAACAGAAAAUAACAUAGUAUGAAGUCUCCCCAUCAAUAUAAGAGAUCAGCUUCCCACUUUCAUACAGACUAUCCCCUAUGAAUCCUGCAGCCACCUUGUAUCGUACGACUGUCCCCUAUCCUGCAGCUCCCCUGUGAGUUAGGUAGACAGAUGGCACUUGCCCAGUGUAACAUAGCAAUCUUGGGCUCCCUGCCCAGUGCUGCCUCAGGCGCUGAAAGUCCUGACAGUGAGUCUGUGCUAAGAGGAGUUUCCACUCUUCCUCCCACGGUUGCACACCGCUUAGGCUUAAACACCAGGCCUAUGUGACGCCAUGGCUUCUCAGUUAACCCAAGUCAUGGAGUGGAAGGCAAUGAAGGGCCUAUGAAUGUGUUUAUGUAAGAGAGAUUUUGCUAAGAUAUUAUUAGCCUAUCCUUGAAUUCUUCAUAGAGCCAGAUGAGCCAGUUUUUUUUGUUGUUUUUUUGUUUUGUUUUGUUUUGUUUUUAAUUAUGUAUGAUGUGUGGGUGUGGGUGUGGGUGAGCAUGCACAUGCCUGCAUGUACCUGGGUAGCUCAGAGGUUAAUGUCUGGUGUCUUCCUCAAUGGUUCUAUGUCUUAAUCUUGAUACAAGGUUUCACAACUGAACUUGUGACUUGCUGUUUCAGCAGGACUUGAUGGCCAUAGUAUCUCUGCCUUUUUCCCUGUGCUGGGAUUAUAGUGUUGCUCCUGGCUUUUAUAUGGGUGCUUGGGAUUUGAACGCAGGUCUUCGUGUUUAUGCAGCAAACAGCUUACCCACCAAAGCACCCCUAGCCCAUGAGCCAGCUUCUCUGUUUCAGGAUCUUAUCUGCUCUUCAGCUUUUGUUCACUUCCCACUUCCUGGGGUGAAGUGCAGUCUCUAGGUGAGGACAGCCACGGCUCGUCUUCACUAUCAGCUUGAUUGGAUGUAGACUGACUGUGGAAGCUCACCUCUGGGGUGUGUCAUCGAGGGUGUGUCUAGAGAGAGUUAACUGAUAAGGGAAGACCCAUCCUGAGUGUGGAUUUGCUGUGCUAUCCCUGGGAAAAGAUCAAGGACAAGAAGACCGUGAGCGAGGCACCAGUGUUCACCUUUCUCUGCUUGCUGACCAUUGAUAUGUGAUCCACUGCUUCACAGUCCUGCCUCCAUGGCCUCUCCACCCUGAUGAACUUCAGUGUGAAAGCCAAAACGGAUGUGAAACACCUGUGCCGAGCAUUCUAUCACAGCAAUGAGAAACAAACAUACAAGGUCUCUGUGAACCGUGACAAAAAAAUGUUACGAGUUCAUAAAUCAAACCCAGUGUUAUCUUCUCCACACGGUAAGACUUAGGUUAUUGGUUGACCUUCUGUGGACCCCAGAUCCUUCAGUGUUAAGCUGCUAAAUUGUUAAUUAAAAUUGAAAACAUG